GGAGAUUUAGCUCAGUGGUAGAGCGCUGGCCUAGCAAGCGCAAGGCCCUGGGUUCGGUCCCCAGCUCCG
rnacentral:tRNA from 1 species